AAGGUAAAAGAAAAUGUAACUCUAAAUGAAGUGAUUGAUAUAUUUGACUAUACUAGAAUGCAUUCACCAAAAAACACCAUUUACAAAAACAAAAAGCCUGUAGAGUUGGGAAAUAUAUUAAUUCAUAUAACCGUCAAAGGACAGGUGUCCAGGUAUGUAAAGUACUUCUGUAUACCAAAGAAAAGGAACACCCAAUAGAAAAAUGGGCAAAAACCUUAAUGAAGCACUUCAUAAAAGAAAAAAUUAUCUAAUAAACAUACAGAGAAGUGCUUUAUCUCAUUCUGUAAAACUCUGCAUAGGUUCGGAAUUGGCCAUGGCGAAGUGUUAACUGUGCUGCUGUCUAAUGUGGAAUGUAGUGGCAGAUGAACCUGGGAAGAGGAGAAACAAGAAAAGGGCUGAAAGGGGGAAGAGAUGGUAGAAGAAAAAAAAUACGUUGGAUACAGUGGAACCACCAGGUGGCGCCACGCUACAAUAUGACUCUUGGAAGUCUCCUUUUAAAGAGAGAGCAAGGGACCACAAGAGAAACCUACCAGAAAAUACAAAUGGUCCAACUCUGAAUGGGAAUGAAAAACAUACCUGUACAAAAUAUGCACUAAAAAAAAAAAAUCAGAAGUCUAACAAUAUAUAUUGAACAACUGUGUAUUACAAAGACUCCCUGGCAAGUUCUCAUCUGUUCUGACCAGUUGGUAUUUUCAGCGUUCUUCUUUCACUUUGGCCAUUUUGGUUGUUACCCAGAACUUCCAAUAUAAUGAAUAGAA
rnacentral:lncRNA from 10 species